CGCGAAUAGCUCAUUACAACAGCCACCGUUACUAGAAAAUAGUAUCCUACUGGAUAACUGUGGCAAUCUAGAGCUAAUACAGCAAAAAAGCUCCGCCCGCAAGGAACGAGCGCAUUUUUAGAAUAAAAACCAAUCGGGUUUCGGCCCGUAAUUUGGUGAAUCUGAAUAACUUUGCCAAUCGCACAGUCCUAGUACUGGCGAUAUAUCUUUCAAGUGUCUGCCUUAUCAACUUUCGAUGGUAGGUUAUACGCCUACCAUGGUAGUAACGGGUAACGGAGAAUAAGGGUUCGACUCCGGAGAGGGAGCCUGAGAAACGGCUACCACAUCCAAGGAAGGCAGCAGGCGCGCAAAUUACCCACUUCCAGAACGGAGAGGUAGUGACGAAAAAUAACGAGACAGUCCUCUUCGAGGUCUGUCAUCGGAAUGGGUACAAUUUAAAUCCUUUAACGAGGAUCUAUUGGAGGGCAAAUGUGGUGCCAGCAGCCGCGGUAAUUCCAGCU
rnacentral:rRNA from 1 species